rnacentral:rRNA from 1 species
AAUAGAUACCCGGGUAGUCCACGCGGUAAACGAUGAGUACUAGGUGUGGGUGGAGUGAAAUCCAUCUGUGCCGAAGCAAACGCGCUAAGUACUCCGCCUGGGGAGUACGGCCGCAAGGCUAAAACUCAAAGGAAUUGACGGGGACCCGCACAAGCAGUGGAGUAUGUGGUUUAAUUCGAAGCAACGCGAAGAACCUUACCAGGUCUUGACAUCCCUCUGACCGUUCUAGAGAUAGAGCUUCCCUUCGGGGCAGAGGAGACAGGUGGUGCAUGGUUGUCGUCAGCUCGUGUCGUGAGAUGUUGGGUUAAGUCCCGCAACGAGCGCAACCCUUGAUCUUAGUUGCCAGCAUUGAGUUGGGCACUCUAGGAUGACUGCCGGUGACAAACCGGAGGAAGGUGGGGAUGACGUCAAAUCAUCAUGCCCCUUAUGACCUGGGCUACACACGUACUACAAUGGCCGGUACAACGGGCAGCGAAAGGGAGCCGAAUCCGGGAGCGAAUCCCCGAAAAAAGCCGGGUCUCAGUUCGGAUUGCAGGCUGCC